AUUGUUGCAUUUGAGGACGGGAUUUCCAGGAGCGCAGAGUAGCACAAGGAGAGAUGCUUCAAAAUAUCUUCAGAGAAGCUUGAAAAAAGAUGCUCCAAACUGCCUGGCUUUGAAAUACAUAAUUAAGCAGAGAAGAGAAGAGGAUUCUAAUGGCGGUAUCUCUCCUCCAUACGUCUGCAAGUCCUUCUUCCGACUUACACUCCAGUGGUGCUGCUCACUUCGAUGUCAGGUGAAGGCAUGUUCACUUGACAAUGAAAUGUCAUCUAUGACCUUUAAAUACAUAAUGGAACUGAAUAUGCAGUGUGACCAGCCAGCCCUCUGCUUCUGCAGCCAUGCCUCUCCCACCUGCUUACAUGUCACCCCGAAAUGAUAGACUGCACCACCAUAAAACAUAAGGUAAG